rnacentral:rRNA from 1 species
GAUGAACGCUGGCGGCGUGCCUAAUACAUGCAAGUCGAGCGAACAGACGAGGAGCUUGCUCCUCUGACGUUAGCGGCGGACGGGUGAGUAACACGUGGAUAACCUACCUAUAAGACUGGGAUAACUUCGGGAAACCGGAGCUAAUACCGGAUAAUAUAUUGAACCGCAUGGUUCAAUAGUGAAAGACGGUUUUGCUGUCACUUAUCGAUGGAUCCGCGCCGCAUUAGCUAGUUGGUAAGGUAACGGCUUACCAAGGCAACGAUUCGUAGCCGACCGGAGAGGGGGAUCGACGACACGAGAACUGAGACGCAAUCAAGACUCCUACGGGAGGCAGCAGUAGGGAAUCUUCCGCAAUAGGCGGAAGCUUGGAGGAGCAACACCGCGUGAGUGAUGGAGGUCUUCGGAUCGUAAAACUCUGUUAUUAGGGAAGAACAAAUGUGUAAGUAACUAUACACGUCUUGACGGUACCUAAUCAGAAAGCCACGGCUAACUACGUG